GCGNNGCUAAAUGCAGUCGAACGGGACUUGCACCCAACACGGAAUGUUGCGGAAAGCUAGUAUAUAUGUUAGACGAAGAAGCGAAAGAGGAAAGAGCGAAGACGAGCGUCGGGAGGAAAAGCGACCGGCGAAACGUGCUACUAAUUCCUAAUUUCUACUUCCUAACUACUACUAAACUUGCCCCCAACACUGCGUGUUGGGGGCAAGUUUAGUGGCGGACGGGUGAGUAACACGUGAGCAACCUGCCUAGAAGAGGGGGAUAACGUCUGGAAACGGACGCUAAUACCGCAUAACAUUACGAGACGGCAUCGUUUUGUAAUCAAAGGAGCAAUCCGCUUUUAGAUGGGCUCGCGCCCGAUUAGGUAGUUGGUAGGGUAAAGGCCUACCAAGCCUGCGAUCGGUAGCCGUACUGACAGGUAGAACGGCCACAUUGGGACUGAGACACGGCCCAGACUCCUACGGGAGGCAGCAGUGGGGAAUAUUGCACAAUGGGGGAAACCCUGAUGCAGCGACNCCGCGUGAGUGAAGACGGUCUUCGGAUUGUAAAGCUCUGUUGCAGAGGACGAAUCAAUGACGGUACUCUGUGAGGAAGCCACGGCUAACUACGUGCCAGCAGCCGCGGUAAUACGUAGGUGGCAAGCGUUGUCCGGAAUUACUGGGUGUAAAGGGAGCGUAGGCCGGGAAUCCAAGUCGGGUGUGAAAUACCGCAGCUUAACUGCGGGGCUGCACCCGAAACUGGGUUUCUUGAGUGAUGUAGAGGCAGGCGGAAUUCCUAGUGUAGCCGGUUGAAAUGCGUAGAUAUUUAGGAGGNAACNCCAGUGGCCNAAGGCGGCCCUGCUGGGGCAUUAACCUGACCGCUGANGGCUCNAAAAGCCGUUGGGGGAGCCAAACNGGNAUUAGGAUACCCCCUGGGUAAGUCCCNCGCCUNUUAAANCGAAUUGAAUUUNCCUAGGGUGGNGGGGGGGGGAACNUGGACCCCCUUUUCCCNUGGCCCGGGAAGUUUAACCACCCAAUAAAGGUUAAAUUCCNCCCCU
rnacentral:rRNA from 1 species